AGGGAAAUAGGCAUCCCGUAUGGUCAGGUGUGAGGCCCCUAGGGUAUCCAGGUGUCUGUGUGAAGGGGCUGGGCCACGGCUCCCCUCUGCAGGCAAGGAUGCUGGAACUCCUCCUAGGCGAAGAGGAGGCUCCCCUGGCCACUCACCCAGGGAUGGAGCGUGAUAGAGCAUCAGGUAUGUUUCAAGGUUCUGGUGCAAGGGGCAGGAGGCACCAGAGAAAGACAGGCAGGUUAAUAUCUGCCCAGCGAUUAGUGUUUACUUCUGGUAUCCUAGUCACCCACUGUGUUCCUUAAUUUGCAUACCAUCCCCAUUCCUCUGAGGCCCAGAAAGGGGCCCAGCUAGUAGGUGGCGAAGCAGCACUCCAACCAAGGGCAGCCCUUCCCCAGAACCAGCACUGGAUGCGGAGGUGCUGCAAAAGCCAGCCAUGGAGGCACCUCCAGAGGCCUGAGUCUGUGAGUUCCAGUGAGCUGCCCACUCUCUGGGUCCAGCAAGUUUUCCUCUGUGUCCAACCCACUCUCCACAGGGGUCUGCAUGAGUCCUGCUUGGACACACAGACUCCGUUUCAUGUGUGGGCAGCAAGUGCGGGGUCUUGGGCUCCACCCGCCCACUCGCCCCUUUCCAGGUGUCCCUGAUGACAGAUCCGACUGCAGACCCCAGAGCGGCUUCCUGAGCUGAAGGGCCCUGGAGCCCACCCCUGUGUCCUCCCCUUCCAGUGCCAGAGAGAAGUGCUCUCAUUCACAGCCGCAGCAAUGACAACGUCAGUCACAGUAAUGGUAUUGCUGUUUAUUGACCGUUCGCUGCAUACCGGAUACUGUUGUGCACUUCACACACCUUUCUUCUAAUUCUUAGAACAACCGUGAACGGUGAAUAUUACUAAUGCUUGCACUGCAGAUGGAACGGGUGAGGCUGAGGGCGGUUCAUUACCCAGUGGGGCUGUGGCACAGCGGGCACGAGCCUGGCUGUGUCUACUCACGGAGCCACUCUUCCCCACGGGGCUGUGAGGCCCCCGCGUGCACGACACCCUUAGACGUUUGACCCACACCACUGCCCACAUCACUGCCGAGCCUUGUGACGGCACAGUGACCCCACUUACAAUGCAGGCAGAUGCGGGUAGUUGUGAACACAGGAAGAAUCCUAGCGCCUAUCAUGCAAAUGCGUGCGGACAUUGUGCUGGGUCUCCUGGAACAAAGGGCCGCCUGUUCCUGUAAUUCCUGUAAUUCUGCUGGAAAACCCCAUGACCACACAGCUAGUCAAUGGAAGAUCUGGGGUUCGAACCCAGGCCUCUCUGGCUUUCCAAAGCCCUCGCUCUUUCUGCCAUCCCCAAAGGCAGGUGCUGCUGGCCUCACCCACUGGUAAUGCACAGUCUGGAGGAAGCCCUACUGGGAUAUGGAGUCGCACUUGCACCCUUCAGGAACCAGGUGUCUGUGGCAAUGACAAUGGCACUGUCACCAGAAGAAAGGCAUUUUCUCUGUGUUUCCAAAGUAGAAGGGGUUCGCAGGGAACCAUCCGCAUGUCCCCACCUGUCUGCCUGCCUGCUACUUGCAGACCAGCUGGCAUCACAGAAGCCCUAAGUGGCCACCUCCACUCUCGACUGGAGCCUUGACUGGAGCAGGGCUGGGUCUGGCCCAAGAAACCGAGGUGCAAAUGCUGAGCAAAUACAGAUCUGUGGAGGAUCCCCCAGGACACCCUGCCGUAUUCCAGAGCCCAAGGAAGUCCAAACCCUCCCAAUUGUACUCCACCUUCCAAAGAUAGCAGGCCCCGCCCACCUGUGCCUGGGCCAAGGCUCAGGCUGAGGGUUCCCUAUUGACUUCGCGAUUUCUGGCACAUCCCCAUUGCACAGAGUGCCCGGCAUGGGGGGAUGGAAGCAGCUGUGAGAACAAGAGGGAGAAAACUUUACUGCUUUUCCAUGCUUCCAUUCCAUCCUCUAAGAAUUUAAGCAAAGCAAAGACGGCGUUGCCUGCUCCCAGCACUCAGAGCAUGCGAGCCAAUCAGCCAGGGACCUCGCCGUCCACCUUGCUUUCCAGCAUGUGGGCUCCGGGCUCCGUGGGCAACAGGGAUGAAGCAGAGCUCUGGGGUUGAGUGUGACCCACCACACAAGGGCCUGUAGGGAAGGAGCUCUGUCCCCAGCUCUGCCCACAUUCACAGCUGUGUAACCUCAAGCAAGUCACUUCCCACCUCUGGGCCUUGGUUUCCUUUCCUAAUAAAUACGUAUGGCCGCCCUAGAGGACCACCAAGGCUUUGCCCUCCCCCCCGGAUGCUGUGAUCUCCAGUUCUACCCAUGCUGAGGGGCCAGUUGUGGAAGGAGUUUGCUUGGACAGCGCAGGGAGUCCUCCCCGCGUCAGGCUGGGGACAAUCAUCUGCUAUGGCUACUGCAUGUUGAAGCAGAUGUCUAUGGUCGAGAUGAUGGUACGACCUCCCAGAAGGAUCCCGAGGGGUCUCUGGAGGUGGAGCCUAGAGACAGAGAACAUGCUCCGAGGACCUCCAGGCUGGGAAGACGUCGUUGCUCUGAGAUGGAGCCCAGAGACACAGUUGUGGGUGAGUCACCAGGGAUAACGAGCUUUGAGACAGGAACACUCAGAUGUCUUCUGACACCCUUCCCAAGCCCUAAUGAGACCAGUCGUGCACCCAGGCCCCGAGGGUAGCCCAGAGCCAUGGGUAAGGGGUCUAGCUUCACCCUGGGGCAGCCCAACCUUGGAGGCCACUGGCUAGUGACUGUGUUUCCCGCCCUGACCCCAGCUCAGAAGAGCUGGGGCUGGAAACCGUGCCCCACAUGCUGCGGGAGCUCCCUGGCUGUUCUUGGAAAUGCAGAGACUCCUGGCACCUCCUCAGCACUGCUCCCUUCUCUAAUAAGCCCCGGAGUCCCUGCCACGACACCUUCCCCUCAGAAGGCACUGGGGUCUCUGUAAUUGUAACGUGAUGUCCCUUGCAGCAGUAUUAAUCACCCCUCCAGCACCAGCCCCAGCCAAGAGAGAAGGAACAGGGUGGGCAGGCAGAACCAGAGGGGCCUGGUGUUGCUAAAUAUCCCCACCCAAGGGCAAAGGCAAAGCUGCCUGUCCUGUGCCUUCCUCAAGCCCAGUCAUGCUUCCUGGAUAUGCCUGGGUUUGGACUUCAUUUGAGUUGUCCCUGAGUGAGGAGCGUUGACCAGGGGCUGUAGCUCCCUUUGGCCACAACAGAGGAACUGUGCUGAGCUCGCCCUGUGUAAAGAGACAGGCCCACGGGCCCAGAGGCUGGAUGGAGGAGACAGGGGGAAGCUGGAACCCAGGCUUCUCUCCUCCCCUUCCUAACCAAUCUGCACCUGCUUUCCAAGCCCAUCCCCCAAAGCCAGGGCUUGAGGCUGUCAUGGCCUUGCUCAGGAUUCCUUCAACGACUUUCCUUAAGAAUAAAUCCUAGGCUCUUGCCCUUUACCUUUGACCUUCUUAAACCACGCCUGCUACUCUUCUACGGGGAGGCUACACUCUAGCUGGAGUUGAUCUGUCCUGUGGACUUCCCCAGCUUCCCACCGUAUGUUAUCAUCCCUAUUCCCUCAUCUUUGAAUGUCGCCAUCUCUCCACCUGCCCUCAUUUCCUGCUGUCCACAUCCUACCAACCCUGCAUGGGGCACAGUCUACCUCCCAAAAGAGGCUGUCCCUGACUGCAUGAGCUUGUGGGCCCUCUUUCCUUGGCACUCCCACAGAGUCUGACAAGAUGACAUCCGUAACUCAUUUUUAUUAUAGAGCGGGGAGUGUCGGAGAUCCCUGGGGAAGGCAGACAGGUGAGACCAGAAGUUUUCAGCACUCACUGGGUGUGGGCAUCUAUGCUGUGCAAAUAAGCUGGACACUGCAGGUGUCCCUCCAAGAGGAACAGAUCACAGUGGGCCAAAGGUGGGUUUCAAAAGCAUAAUGUUUCUCCCACUGAACGCACAUCCAUAGUCAGUGCUCUGCAACACCGGCCGAAUGAAUAAACACUGUGCUAGCAGAGUGACACUGGGACAUGGCAUGGUUCCCACCAAGAUGGUGUCUGCAGGGUGAGCUAGGGGAAGGUUAGGUUGAGAUUUUAAGCUGGAGAAGUAGCUGAAGAAAGCAGGACCAGCCUUAAUAUCUGGCAAGAGAAUAUACUAAGACAAGCCACAUGAAGCUUCCAAACACGGAAGCCGGAGAGACCCAGAGAGAAGUGAAGUUACCUCACAGUCAGAGGGAGACGGCUGAGAGCCCAGGAAGGGAUCUGGGGUCGGUGUUAGCGAGCAGAGGCACAUCCCAGUGUGGGGAGAACCAGGUGUUCCCGGAGCUAUGGCUUAGACUGUCACUGGCCCUGCUGGGUACACUCUUCACACUAUGUGGUUAAUGAAUGGUUCACAUUUCUAUGUAUGCAUGUAUCCCCAGCACCCGGGGGCACCCUCAAUAAAUGCAAUGCUUAUGGGUGAUGGGGUGUCCGGGGCUGGUACACUGGGGAGAACGUGCCCCACUUAAGGGAGCCCCCCAGUCUAUUGUUGCCAGUGCAGAAUGUCCCAGAACUUCCAGUGUUUGAAAACAAGACUAAAAUCUGAAUUUUCACUUGAAGUCCCUUUAUUUUAAAAUGCAGGCAAUCAAUUCAUCACUGUUUGAGCCCAAACACAUCAGUGGAUCAGCCCCCGCUGGUGUCCUGCACUCACAUCAUCUAAGACACCAAGUGAAACAAACAGCCACAGUUCAAAGAGUUUUCAAAAGGCCUCCCAACAGCCCUCUGACCAAGCGGGGUGGGGUUAUUACUCCCCAGGCCCAGAGAGCUUUAUCAAUUUUCCCAAGGUCCCUCAGCUAGUUAGUAGCCAAGGAAGGAUCAGAACUCAUGUCUCAACACUUUCUCAGAGGUUCUUUCCUCAAACCCCACAAUGUCUCCGGGCCCUAAUGGGCAGCGGAGUGAAAGAGCAGUCAGAAUAAUGUAACACACAGACCUUGGCAUCAGGUCACAGUGCCCCUAGAAGAGAAAUAGACAGGCAUCAACCAGAUUGUUCCUUGAUCUGUACAAAUGGAAGAGUUGUUCUAGGUAGGUGAACAGAAGUCUAACUUGAAUCAUCAAAAUGGAGAGUCAUGGGGCGCCUGGGUGGCUCAAUCAGUUAAACAUCUGACUCUUGACUUCGGCUCAGGUCAUGAUCUCACAGUUCAUGAGUUUGAUCUCUGUGUUGGGCUUGGCGCCUGCUUGUGAUUCUCUGUCUCCCUCUAUCUCUCUGCGCUUCUGCUCAUGGACUCACUCUCUCUCAAAAAUAAAUUAAAAAAAAAAAAAUUUAAAAAUGGAGUCAUAACCCCUCACUUAGUUCUAAGGCUUGAGUCAAUUUACGGACCCAGAUGCCUUGAAGGAAGGGGAGGCUGUGUCCCCUUGGGGAAGAACCUUGCAACACUGCCAACAUUUUAUACUGUUAAUCUUUUCUCCCAGCCUUCCCCAAAGGGAUCUACAGCCUUUUACCAGGGUGACUCUGCACUGAAGUAAGAGAAACAGUCAGAUUUUUCAGGGAUUAGCAGACGUGGGCUCUGACCUGACACAGUUCCAGGGGCCCCAUCACAUUACUGUGGCCCCUAUCAGGCCUAGCAGGGGCCUGUGGAAGUCAGAUGACCAAUGGGGUUUUGAGCUCACGUCCUUCUCAUAAAGGGUCCGAUGGGUCCCCCGAACCCCUCCUGUGGCUAAUUCCCCAGCUCUGAAAUGUGUAAUUGGAGUAGAUAUACUCAGCACCUGGCAAAACCCCCACAGCACAGGACGAGCUGGAUUCCUUUGAGCUAUUAAGAAAAUAUACCCCAAACCUGGAAAUAAGGCACAAAGCCAUCUAAGGCUCAGCUGAGUCUCUAGGGGAGUGUAUUUUAUUUACUGUUUACUGUCCGUAAGGGAGCCAGCCCUGUGAGAGAGAUGUCACGGGGAGAAAAUUGAGAAUACACAAUGACUUCCAUCCAGUAAGGAAGAUAGUCCCAAACUUUACGACUUCAUUGCCCUGUAAGACAUGAAUAAGCUUUGUAUCUAGUUUAGCAAUCAUUCUAGCUGCUUUCUUCCUUCCACCGAUAAUCUACCUAUUUCUCGCCUUUCUCUUUUGAACCUGGUUUUGUCAUCCCACCGGUUCCCUCACUAAUGACUUAAAUAAAUCUUUGACAUGUCA